rnacentral:ribozyme from 13 species
UUUUUCUUUUGGUUCCUUUUUUUUUUUUUUUUUUUUGCUGACUUUCGCCUUAUCACUAACCGCGUGC